GUGCUUCUGAGGAGUCCCACAACAGGACGAAACGGCCGUCCAGUGC
rnacentral:hammerhead_ribozyme from 1 species